rnacentral:tRNA from 1 species
UAUAUUUUAGUGUAAGAUGCACGAAAGUUUUUGAUUCUUUAAGAAAUAGUUUAAUUCUGUUAAAUAUAA